ACUGUCAGCCACCAGCAGUUCCAGCAGUUGGGAGAAAGAAUGCUUUAGACCUAAAGGGUGGAUCUGGGGAGCUCAGCAAAAUGUCCACUGCAUGGACUCUCUCAUUUUAAUCACUGAGGUCCUUAGGUUGGUAGAGGCUUCACUGAGACACAUGUUUUCAAAAUUGUGACAGUAGGGAUCAUAAAAUUUAAUUGCUAGUGUUGCAGUGUCUUGCUGUAGCCAUUAAAAAGCUUCCACCUAGAAGCAGUGUGCUUUACUUCCACUCAUAUUUUAGUGGCCACCAAAGUCAGAUGGCCAAACCUAACUUUAAGAGGGCAGAGGCUGGGAGCAGUGGCUCACGCGUGUAAUCCCAGCACUUUGGGAGGCCGAGGCGGGCAGAUCACAAGGUCAGGAGUUCGAGACAGGUGAAACCCCUUCUCUACUAAAAAUGCAAAAAAUUAGCUGGGUGUGGUGGCAGGUGCCUGUAAUCCCAGCAACUCCGGAGGCCUAGGCAGGAGAAUCGCUUGAACCUGGGAGGCAGAGGUUGCAGUGAGCCUAGAUCGCGCCACUGCACUCCAGCCCAGGCGACAGUGCAAGACUCAGUCUCAAAAAAAAAAAAGAAAAAAAGAGGGCAGAAAAUGUAAUCCUACCAUGUCAUGAGAAAGAGAACCUGAAUAUUUGUGAACAGCCCUGAUGACUAACAUAGUAUCCAAGGGUAAAAUAAUCCCCAAUAUUCUAAUCACCAAAACCCCAACAAGUAGGAUUUUUUUCCUGGUAGGGGUAAGGAAGCAGGAAAUAAAGGAGAACAACACAGAAAUCCAAGAGGACAGACUAACAGCAUCUGCGAAACUGAUCUUCACUAUGUAUUAUAGCCCCUCAUGGAUGAUAUCUCUGCCUUCAGUUGGAGGACUGGUCCUGGUUUUAAGAAGGGACAGAGGGGCACUAAGCAGAUUAUUAGAACAAGAAUUGAAAUAAGGACCAAGGCCAAUUUCUUGUUAAAUAAAUGAGGACAUGUAGGUAUUACCUGGGCUCAGAAAUACCGACUACUUCUAAGAAUAAACUUCAUGAUCAUAAAGGGGUGGUAUCAAAGAAAAAUAGAAGAAAAACUCUUAGCUCUAGCAGACAAACAAUAUGGAAGUUAGCACUGGGACACCUUUCCAGAUCAGAAAAACAAACAACUAAAAGCUGCUUAGAAACUUUAGAAUUUUAUCUUUAGGCUUAAACUGAGAAACAGGACAGGGCAUUGUCUCCUUUUGGAAGAUCAAGGUAUAGUUGUGGGGAGAGAAGAAAAUCCAGUUGACCUCCCUGACAUCCUUUGGGCCUGAAAGCAACCUAAUUCUGUCUUCCUAAAACAAACAAAGCUUUUAAAAAAUAAUAAACAAAUAAAAAGAGCCUUGCUUUUGAAACCUAGAUUUAUUGUCUCAUCUCUUUCCUUCCCUUUUCGUCUAACUUUGGAAAUUUUAGUUAACCUAGCUUCUGGGGUCACCCUUUUCUUCAAGA
rnacentral:lncRNA from 1 species